GUGAUCACUUAGGCAGCACACAUACUAUACCAGUAACACUGCAGAGAAGGUAAGCGUGGCCUUUGCACAUGGAUAACAUGUAAAUUUCUAAAGUUAUUUGUAUUUUU